GUGGUGGUCGAAAAUGGCGGUUAUCCUCUAGUGUCCUCAUUUUUACAUCAAAAAGGUGAAUAUAAAUUGAAGUAAUUUUUUUGGGAGAAGAAUAUGCAGAUAUAGUACUGAGUCGAGGGUUUCAAGACUAAACAGUAGCAAAUUUAUUCCAUUCUAACUGCAGUGUGUCAUCAGAAAUUUCAAAGCACACAAUCCGGAUAAUUUUCAGCAGACUCGAAAAGCUGUUAUUAAGAAAAUUGGAAAAAUAUACAGUAGAAAAAGAGUUUCUUCAUAAAAGUAUCAUCCUGUGCCUCUUUGAUAAAAUCAGCAAUUGCUUUCCUGGUGUUCAAUAAAAAUUAAUAUCUCUAAACAAAAAAAUGUCGAAAAAAUUCAAAAUAAGUAUAUUUUCUUGAAGGAUUGUUUUUCAAAUGAAAAUUUAAAUCGAAGUCCACAUACACAAUUCCCCAGAGUUACUUGGCUAAAAGAAAAUCACUUUAACUAUCAAAUGUGGCAAUUUGGAUCAUUAAAGAAAACAAAGACUUCAAUUCGUCACCUAACAAGAAAAAACAAAAAAAAUUUUAAGUAGAGGAACAAUUCUGACAAAUUAAAUCGAUUCAUUUUUAGAACUAGUUAGAGUCAAUGCGGUUUAUAAAUAAAAAUAGUAAUUGAAUUAAAAUUAGAGUCAGUGCGGGUCAUUAAAUAUUUUUAUUCUAUUAUAGAUUUUUUUAAUUUAUAAACAGUGUUUUGAAAAAAUUUUUUAAAUUUAAAUCAGUGUCGUAUUGAAAAUUGAAUUUGGAAGGAUUCCCAUCAGGCAUCGAUCUAUUCCAACUAAGGAGCUUUUUCAGGAUUGAAGGACAGAAAGGAUGAUUUGGAGAGGCACUUAUCCUGAUGGGGCGAUUUUUAGAUUCUGCGACGAGAAUAUUCAGCAUCGGUGAGUCCCUCCUGUCUCUA